ncrna:unclassified sequences IMES-2 RNA motif
UGAUGACUUAAGAGGCAACUCUUAACUGGCCAGGUGGGGAAAAACCGAGAGGUUCAAGCUUACCGGGCAGAAAACUGGGGUCAGUAGUACUAAACAGCCCUAGUGGCAGUGACGAAGGUAGUACUUCAACAGCGUCACAA